rnacentral:rRNA from 1 species
GACGAACGCUGGCGGCGCGCCUAACACAUGCAAGUCGAACGAGAGAUGAGGAGCUUGCUCUUCAAAUCGAGUGGCGAACGGGUGAGUAACGCGUGAGGAACCUGCCUCAAAGAGGGGGACAACAGUUGGAAACGACUGCUAAUACCGCAUAAGCCCACGGCUCGGCAUCGAGCAGGGGGAAAAGGAGCAAUCCGCUUUGAGAUGGCCUCGCGUCCGAUUAGCUAGUUGGUGAGGUAACGGCCCACCAAGGCGACGAUCGGUAGCCGGACUGAGAGGUUGAACGGCCACAUUGGGACUGAGACACGGCCCAGACUCCUACGGGAGGCAGCAGUGGGGAAUAUUGCACAAUGGGGGAAACCCUGAUGCAGCGACGCCGCGUGGAGGAAGAAGGUCUUCGGAUUGUAAACUCCUGUUGUUGAGGAAGAUAAUGACGGUACUCAACAAGGAAGUGA